rnacentral:lncRNA from 1 species
AUCUUAUUAUAGUCGCCGUCAGCUGAAAUUCGUGGCGGUUAUCGGUAAAAAUAAUCUAAACUAUCAAUCGCGUUCACUCGAGAUAUAGUUUUUCACAUUCCAUUCAUAAAUCGCAAAAAGAAAAACCACUACUGACCUACCUUUUAAGUGAUCACACUGUAAUAAUCCUGACCUUCACAUUUUCCAGAAUAUUUUCCAUUGUAAUUCCGCCAUCUUCGUUUCUAUGAGGAUCAUUUGUUUACAUAUGACAUUCGUCACUGUACGCAGUUUCCUGAAAUGUUCCUUUCAUUGAUGUGAUAAGGUUUCCCGCGCU